ACGAACGCUGGCGGCAGGCUUAACACAUGCAAGUCGAGCGCCCCGCAAGGGGAGCGGCAGACGGGUGAGUAACGCGUGGGAAUCUACCCAUCUCUACGGAAUAACUCAGGGAAACUUGUGCUAAUACCGUAUACGCCCUUCGGGGGAAAGAUUUAUCGGAGAUGGAUGAGCCCGCGUUGGAUUAGCUAGUUGGUGGGGUAAAGGCCUACCAAGGCGACGAUCCAUAGCUGGUCUGAGAGGAUGAUCAGCCACACUGGGACUGAGACACGGCCCAGACUCCUACGGGAGGCAGCAGUGGGGAAUAUUGGACAAUGGGCGCAAGCCUGAUCCAGCCAUGCCGCGUGAGUGAUGAAGGCCCUAGGGUUGUAAAGCUCUUUCACCGGUGAAGAUAAUGACGGUAACCGGAGAAGAAGCCCCGGCUAACUUCGUG
rnacentral:rRNA from 1 species